AUGACCGAGGAGAGUGCAGUAACAGUGCGUCCCACAUGAGCAGAGACCUGGGGGAGCAGGCUGUCGCCUGAGAAAGGAACGUUGGUGAAGAUGUUUCCCAGCACUUAAAUUCCUGCGACAUGUCCCCAUCCCCCUGCCCUUAAAUAAAAGGGUUUGCCCGCCUCCGCCUGCGCCAGGCUGAGCAAGUGACUCGAUCCUCGAGGACCGAGCACCGGGACCGCAGACGACAGCCCUGGAGCUGGAAAAUCUCUCGUGCGUCACUUCAGGAGGAAUUAGACUGACAGGAGUUGCGGUGGGAGUGUAGAGUACUUUUCCCGGCUGCAGCACUAGCAAAGGCACAUUUUUCUGUGUCCAGGAAUAGCAGUCUGCUUCUCUGUACCGCCCCUUCUCUCUCUCUCUUCUCCUGGACCAGCGUCUGAGAAGAAGCCUCGUCCCAGUGGCCAUGAAGUCCCCGGCACCCAGUUAGCCGGGGGUUCGCUCCCAGCUGGAGUCCGCCUGCCUCCCAGGUGACACGGGCCAGGGCACUCGGUCAGUGCACCGGAAGAAAGAGCGACAGGGUCCUCCCAGCACGGGUUACAGGCUGAGGAGCGUCAGAGGUUUGACUAAGUUGCACAGACUGAUCUCCAAUUUGUGGUCCUCCUGCCUCAGCCUACCAGACUGCUGAGAUUACAGAGCUUCACCACCAGGCCUGGCUGAUUGUGGUCUUCACUGAUGGCUUCAAGAUAGGGUGAUUUUCCAUGGAAAGUACAGAAGCAAAGCAAAGCCAAGUGGGAAAGCAUGGGUACACUGUGCUCUGAUCGGAUCCUCCAUCCCAUUGCCCUCCCUUGUGUCCGCUCCUGCCUCAUCUCCCCGCUCUUCUCCAGCAGCAGCGAAGAGAAAGUUACACAGCCUUGUCUCAUUCAUAAGCUGGGUCAGUCCCCUUUCAGCUGCUGAGACGAAGCACCUGACUUGAGCACUUCAUGGGAAAAGAGGCUUUUUUUUUAAUGAUUCCAGAAGCUUUAGUCUGUGGUUGGCUUGCUCUGUGGGGCUUUGACAAGUAGAGAGGCAGAGCCUCCUGGAAGGAGAGUUGGAGAAGGCGGCUGGGAAGCAGAGGAAGCAGGAGAGCUUGAACAAAAAGGGCUGGAGCACAGUCCACUCCCACGGUCGUUCCUCCACGACCCACUUCCUUCAGCAGGCAUCCCCUCCCGCGUCUCCAUUACCUUCCGAUAACGCCGUCGGAUGACGAAUCCACCGGUGCACUGGAAUAACGCGUUGUUAAGUGACAGCUUUCACGAUCCUGGCACCCCUCUGAAGUCCUGGCUCUAGCACUGCCGCCCCAGGAACCUGUGUCCAGCACAAGAGCCUGGAGGGACCCGUGAGUGUCAGACCACUGUAUGAACGGAAGACUCUGACCACUGUGCCACUCUGCCGGCCCCUGUCACUCUGUGCUCCAACCCACAAAGAGGUCUCAGUGCUGUCGCUGUGUGCAGAAUGGGGAGCUCCCCGAUCUACCUGCCUGGCCCUGUGCAGUGCCGUCUACUUGCCUCUCUUUCCUGGACUGGAAGGAUUUUAACUAAACUUCAACAAUGAGAGACUUGAUUCAAUUCCUGCAAAUCUUACAGGAAUUUUCUAGUUUCUAAAAAGUCGUGUAUCAUGUUUUGUCUAAGACAAUGUUUUUGUCUUACAUUUCACCUUUCUAAAGUUAGGGUGCGCCUUACACUUGAUUACUAGGUACUGAACUUGGAAGUGUUUUCUUCUCCUUUGUACAGGUUUGACCCUGAUGCUUGGGUUAAUAUGAAGGGAGUGAAAGGUAAACAGGCCUCUGAGGUGGAGAACUACAAGGCCUCUUACAAGCUGUCUUUUGCUCCCCAACUCCUGUGCUGGUAUUCUAAGCCUCAGUACUUGGGAAGGUGAGAGGAUUUGAAUGUAGCAUGUUUAAAGGGAUAAAGCGAGGUCAUUAGGAUGGGCCCUGACAAAAGUGACUGGUGUCAGCACAGGAAAAGAAAAUUUAGGACAGAGCCACACCCACAGGGGAAAUCAUGUGAAGACAGGGGGAAGAGCAAAGGGACAGGCUUCCCCAAAAGACCAGCCUGUGAGAAGCGGCUCAGGUGCCCAUAAUAAAGGUGCAUGUCCUGGAAAGCGCUGAUACAAUAGGAAUUUAGAUCUUGUAGCUCUGGGGCUGAAAAGCCUAAGAUUAGGCAAGUGGCAGAUUCAGCUCCCCAGGGAGGGCUCUUGCCCUGGCUUGUCGGCGGCCACCUUCUUCCUGUGUCCUCGUCCGGUGGAGACACAGCUCUGAUGUCUCUCUCUCUCUUCUUAGAAGAGCACUAACACCGCCACAGAGGCUCACUCUCGUGCCUUGUGUAAGUGGAGGAAUCUCUGAAGAACCCCAACUCUAAAUAGCCCAUUAAGAUCGGGGCUUCAACCUAUGAAUCUGAUGUGGAAAGGAACAGUUCCAGCCACACCGUACUUCGAUCUUCUUCUGCCUCCAGAACUGAGAGGAGAUAAACUUCUGUCCACCUCGUGUACUGACGCUCUGUUAGCUAGUCCCACUCCAGGAAUACAGUUGUCAUCAACCAAAUGCUGAGGGAAGGUUUGUAGGCAAUGGGGGACACCGUGGCCCCGAGGGGACACAGUGGACAGUCUUAGUCCAUCAGUAUCAUUGGAGCAAAUCACCCAAGACUGAGGAAUUUGUGCAGAAGUUUCUUUCUGAGUUCUUGUGGCUGAGAAGUCUGUGAUCAAGGUGUUCGGUGACUCAGUGUCCUCUCCCAAGAUGGUGCCCUGGGAGCUCACCUGGUGAAGGCAGAAGGGCAGAAGUCUCAGGCUGUGGGAGGUCUCUAAUCCCAUUCCCUGAGGCUCCAUCCUCAGGAGUCUUUUUCUCUCAAGGCCCUGAUACUAUCACACUGGUGAUUAAGUUCACAUACUGGAACUUUACAGGAGAUAUAAACAUUCAAAGCAUAGCAGAGAUAAUGAAAGGGGAGUUUAAAUAUCAUCCACAUGUCAAACAAUGGCCUUUCCCAGAUCUCACAUCUCUCCAUAAAGUAAAGCACCAGGUCUCUCUAACUUACACUGUGGAGUGGAAUACUGCACCUGGGCAACCCUCCUUGUCAUCAAAUAUCGGCCCAUCGGGAGGCCAUGUCCACUCCAUAAGUCCCUUCCUGUUGAGGCAUUUAGUAGAUUACACUGCAUCUACUGACUUUGUUCUCACUGGUCAGUCUUUCCUUCUCAUUUCACCUCAUAUGGCUGUUUCUCUCUAAAGCCCAAGUAACAGGUCAAUUCCAUGCAGUCAGCUGGAAAAACGGACCACUCUGGUUGGUUGAUAGCGUCUAGGUACAGCUGUAGACACUGUUCUGAGAAGAUCCCUUUUCCAUGCCCUUUUCCUUUGGGAGUUCACACUGCUCCCCCCUGACUGUUAUUUUUUAAACAUUGUCAAAACGUUAUUUAUAGGACCUCUGCAAAAUAGCUUUGGAGGCUCUUGGGAGCAGAGACGUGGUAGGGGAUUGAAUUAAGUUGGGUUGCAAGGGAAAGAGUCAGGGACCUCGGGAAAAUGCAGAUUGCAGAGAAGCCAGACUGGACUGCACAUUUUCUCUGCCUAGAGGCCUUGUAUUAUGUCACCAUUUGCAAUUUCAAGGAAUGGGCAAACCAGUCUGGAUAAAGAAAAGGUGACCUGACUCACUUCCAAAAGCAUGACUUGAAUGAGGAGGCGGGGGAUGUUUUGGAUGCGAAAUAAAUGUCCUUGAUAUCUUUUCCUCCUGCUGCUCACUCUUACAAGCCUCACUGCAUCGUAUUCUAGAUGAGAUUCAAAAUGCUACAGUUACUUAAAAAUGAUCAUCUCUGGAUUGUAUGCAGUUUUCUCAUCAACAUCAACAUUAUUAUAGUUCAUGUAAUGAAAAGCCAACUCUCCUUCGUAGCUGUGGGCUGUGCACCUUGUGUAUGUGUCUUGUCUUCUCGCCUAUUGUGCUUC